CCAGGGGUAAACAGGACUCGUGUACUUCCGGUCGGUGCCUUCGUCAUGGAGGGCUUUGCCCGGCACGCUGCUGCUGUCGGAUUUGUACUGCUGCUCGGGAGAAAAGUGCAGAGUCCCACCCGCGCACCUCUUCCCUCUCCCUGCGCUCCUGACACCUCUCUCCUCGGAAAACCGCGUGGAGGGAAGCAGUCGCUCAGCAGAGGACUCUGGCCGGAUUAAUGGCGGCUCCCAGAAGCUCCUGCCCCUCUGACAGCUGUCGCUGGGGCAGCCCGGGGAGAAGAAUCGUCCUCUUUCCUGGAGCCAGAGGACGCAGGAAAUUAGCCAGGUUGCGAGUUGCAAAGAGGGCGCGGCGGCGCCGGG